rnacentral:sRNA from 1 species
CCUGCUCAUUAAUGUUUCCCCUCCCUCGCGGCAGCUAGUCGUUAGUGGCCAGAACCGACACUGCGCCAGUCCAUUGCUAUUGUUGUCUGAAACAACUUCCAUUCAGCGCUUCUGGAAGCCUGCAUGCUUCGGACUGCGUUUCAACCAAUGCGAUUGGAACUCUAGAAACUGGAUUCCGUGGCAUCGUCACCUAAAAUUAGACCGACACCCCACACUGCGCGAGCAGCCGCGGGUUUCCAAGAUUCCAGCAAACUUCCUGUCUUGAACUUACCAUCCUCAUCUCCGUACUGUUGUUCUGAACAUCAUGAGGUCCUCUUUGGAUAUAUUUGCCGCUGAGCUUGGGAACAUGAUUCAAUCGAGGAACACCCUGUGCUAAUAACACCCGUCGGAUUCCGGUGACCGUCUUGUAUGACAUCGUUCGAAUGGCAACUUGUGAGCUGACAAACCCGGAAAUUUUGCUUAGGUUUUAUUUCUUCUGUCCGAUGUUGGGAUACCUCUGCGAAACAAACGGCGCAGCCAGAUAAUAUUCUAGCCCUUACGGUAUAGAAAUGGCGAUAAUACGCUGAUACCAUUGAGAGUUUGGGAACUCGAAAAUAUGAAGAUCCUGCGAUGCCCUCCUGAUAUAACCAGUUUCUAUUCGCCCAGGUUGAUGUCGUUUAGCAGGAAAACCAUCGAUAUGGUGACAGGAGUCACAGGACCCUGAAAUGUGUUUCCUUUAGAAUCAAGUUACUCAACAUCAUCUUACGCUUUGAUAACUUACGGCGUAUGUUUACCCAGCAACUCACACUAACUAGGAUGUUAUGAAGGCUACAUUUAAAUUACAAACGUCUUUUCAACAAGUUGUUUUAAAAAGGGUUAACUCAGGUGCUCGGUUAAAUUGCAAUGUCUAUGCAUACACAGUACAUGGCAGGGAGAGCUGCUCUGUUUCUAUCUAGUGUUUGCAAGGACUUACAUAUUCCGCACCUCAGCACAUACAAUUAUUAAAUGAUGUUAAGAUCAAUAUCGACUGCUCUACUUUAGCUUCAGUGAUGUUGUAUGUAUGCCAGCCAUUGUUAUGGGGAUUGGGGAUUCGAUCAGGACCGUGAU